rnacentral:rRNA from 1 species
GGUCUUUUGUUUAUAUAAAAGAUCUAACCUGCCCUAUGAUUUAAUAUAUUAAAUGGCUGCAGUAUUUUGACUGUACAAAGGUAGCAUAAUCAUUUGUCUUUUAAUUGGAGGCUGGUAUGAAGGGUUGGAUGAAAAAUAUACUUUCUUUUUUUUAUAAAAGUAAUUUAAUUUUAUAGUCAAAAAGCUAUAAUAUUUUUAUAGGACGAGAAGACCCUAUAGAGCUUUAUUAUUAUUAUUUUAUAAUCUUUUUGUUUAUUAUAAGGUUAUAUUUUAUUAAUGAUUUUGUUGGGGUGAUGGAAAAAAUUUUAUAACUUUUUUUUGUUUUAACAUUUAUAUAUGUUUUUUUGAUCCUUUAUUAUGGAUAAUAAGAUUAAGUUACCUUAGGGAUAACAGCGUUAUUUUUUCGGAGAGUUCUUAUUGAUGGAAAAGUUUGCGACCUCGAUGUUGGAUUAAAAUAAGUGUUGGGGGUAGUAUAUCAAUUACUAGGUCUGUUCGACCUUUAAAUUUUUACA